rnacentral:rRNA from 1 species
GUGGGGAAUCUUGCGCAAUGGGCGAAAGCCUGACGCAGCCAUGCCGCGUGAAUGAUGAAGGUCUUAGGAUUGUAAAAUUCUUUCACCGGGGACGAUAAUGACGGUACCCGGAGAAGAAGCCCCGGCUAACUUCGUGCCAGCAGCCGCGGUAAUACGAAGGGGGCUAGCGUUGCUCGGAAUUACUGGGCGUAAAGGGCGCGUAGGCGGACAGUUUAGUCAGAGGUGAAAGCCCAGGGCUCAACCUUGGAAUUGCCUUUGAUACUGGCUGUCUUGAGUACGGGAGAGGUGAGUGGAACUCCGAGUGUAGAGGUGAAAUUCGUAGAUAUUCGGAAGAACACCAGUGGCGAAGGCGACUCACUGGCUCGUUACUGACGCUGAGGCGCGAAAGCGUGGGGAGCAAACAGGAUUAGAAACCCCAGUAGUCC